rnacentral:rRNA from 1 species
AGAGUUUGAUCAUGGCUCAGGAUGAACGCUAGCGGCAGGCUUAAUACAUGCAAGUCGUGGGGCAGCAUGACUGUAGCAAUACAGUUGAUGGCGACCGGCAAACGGGUGCGGAACACGUACACAACCUUCCUUUAAGUGGGGGAUAGCCCAGGGAAACUUGGAUUAAUACCCCGUAAUAUAUAGAAGUGGCAUCGCUUUUAUAUUAUAGCAGCAAUGCGCUUGAAGAUGGGUGUGCGGCUGAUUAGAUAGUUGGCGGGGUAACGGCCCACCAAGUCGACGAUCAGUAACUGGUGUGAGAGCACGACCAGUCACACGGGCACUGAGACACGGGCCCGACUCCUACGGGAGGCAGCAGUAAGGAAUAUUGGUCAAUGGACGCAAGUCUGAACCAGCCAUGCCGCGUGGAGGAUGAAGGUCCUCUGGAUUGUAAACUUCUUUUAUCUGGGAAGAAAUCCAUUUUUUCUAAAAUGGUUGACGGUACCAGAUGAAUAAGCACCGGCUAACUCCGUGCCAGCAGCCGCGGUAAUACGGAGGGUGCAAGCGUUAUCCGGAUUCACUGGGUUUAAAGGGUGCGUAGGUGGGCAAGUAAGUCAGUGGUGAAAUCUCUGGGCUUAACUCGGAAACUGCUAUUGAUACUAUUUGUCUUGAAUACUGUGGAGGUCAGCGGAAUAUGUCAUGUAGCGGUGAAAUGCUUAGAUAUGACAUAGAACACUAAUUGCGAAGGCAGCUGGCUACACAAAUAUUGACACUGAGGCACGAAAGCGUGGGGAUCAAACAGGAUUAGAUACCCUGAUAGUCCACGCUCUAAACUAUGGAUACUCGACAUUUGCGAUAACUGCAAGUGUCUGAGCGAAAGCAUUAAGUAUCUCAUCUGGAAGUACGAUCGCAGAUUGAACUCAAAGGAGUG